rnacentral:rRNA from 1 species
CCUACGGGAGGCAGCAGUGGGGAAUAUUGGACAAUGGGCGAAAGCCUGAUCCAGCCAUGCCGCGUGUAUGAAGAAGGCCUUCGGGUUGUAAAGCACUUUCAGUGGGGAAGAAAGCCUUGGGGCUAAUACCCUCGAGGAAGGACAUCACCCACAGAAGAAGCACCGGCUAACUCCGUGCCAGCAGCCGCGGUAAUACGGAGGGUGCGAGCGUUAAUCGGAAUUACUGGGCGUAAAGCGCGCGUAGGCGGUCUGAUAAGCCGGUUGUGAAAGCCCCGGGCUCAACCUGGGAACGGCAUACGGAAGGGUCAGGCGAGAGUGCAGGAGAGGAAGGUAGAAUUCCCGGGGGAGCGGUGAAAUGCGUAGAGAGCGGGAGGAAUACCAGUGGCGAAGGCGGCCUUCUGGACUGACACUGACGCUGAGGUGCGAAAGCGUGGGUAGCAAACAGGAUUAGAUACCCGAGUAGUC